rnacentral:rRNA from 1 species
GAUGAACGCUGGCGGUAUGCUUAACACAUGCAAGUCGAACGGACUCUUCGGAGUUAGUGGCGGACGGGUGAGUAACGCGUGAGAAUCUGGCUUUGGGUUCGGGACAACCACUGGAAACGGUGGCUAAUACCGGAUGUGCCGAGAGGUAAAAGAGAAAUUGCCUGAAGAUGAGCUCGCGUCUGAUUAGCUAGUUGGUGAGGUAAGGGCUCACCAAGGCAGCGAUCAGUAGCUGGUCUGAGAGGAUGACCAGCCACACUGGGACUGAGACACGGCCCAGACUCCUACGGGAGGCAGCAGUGGGGAAUGUUCCGCAAUGGGCGAAAGUCUGACGGAGCAAUACCGCGUGAGGGAAGAAGGCUCUUGGGUUGUAAACCUCUUUUCUUAGGGAAGAACAAAAUGACGGUACCUAAGGAAUCAGCAUCGGCUAACUCCGUG